UACGCAGGCGGGACUGCAAGUUGGAUGUGAAAUACCGGAGCUCAACUCCGGGGGCUGCAUCCAAAACUGUAGUUCUUGAGUGGAGUAGAGGUAAGCGGAAUUCCGAGUGUAGCGGUGAAAUGCGUAGAUAUUCGGAGGAACACCAGUGGCGAAGGCGGCUUACUGGGCUCUAACUGACGCUGAGGCACGAAAGUGUGGGUAGCAAACAG
rnacentral:rRNA from 1 species